rnacentral:tRNA from 1 species
AAUAUGAAGUGAUAAAUUACAAUUAGUUUCGACCUAAUCUUAGGUAGCUCUACCCUUAUUCUU